GAGAAAGGAUAAAAGGGGGAGCCGGAGCGGGAGGCUUGUGGAAGGAGUGACACUGCGGGAAGAAGUCAGGAGGAAGGUGUGUGGGAGGAGCAGAGAGGAGGAGCGGCCCGGUGCGGGGAGGAGUCUGCAAACUUUCAGUUCAAGGGCAUUGUGGGAAGUAGCCAUGGUCUGAGGCUAGCGCCUCACCUGUCAGCCGCCCGGGCUGCUACAGUCUCUUCUGGCCCUCGCAUCCCGGGCGAUCGCUGCUGUCGGGACCCGGGCGGCUGCGGCCACCAUGAUACAUUUCAUCUUGCUCUUCAGUCGUCAAGGGAAGCUGCGGCUGCAGAAAUGGUACACCACGCUCCCUGACAAGGAGAGGAAGAAGAUCACUCGGGACAUCAUCCAGACUGUCCUCUCUCGUGGGCACAGGACCAGCAGCUUCGUUGACUGGAAGGAGCUAAAACUCGUUUAUAAAAGGUAUGCUAGUUUAUAUUUUUGCUGUGCAAUAGAAAAUCAAGACAAUGAGCUUUUGACACUAGAGAUUGUUCAUCGUUAUGUGGAGUUGCUGGAUAAAUACUUUGGAAAUGUCUGUGAGCUGGAUAUUAUCUUUAAUUUUGAAAAGGCGUAUUUUAUCCUUGAUGAGUUUAUAAUAGGUGGAGAAAUUCAGGAAACGUCCAAGAAAACGGCAGUCAAGGCCAUUGAAGACUCUGAUAUGCUACAAGAGGUCAAGAGUCAAGAGGAUUUCAAGAAUUAUAAAGUACCUUUUUAAAAUUGGUGCUAAAGUCAUUCUUCCUGCUAUUUGGAAAUAAGAGACUGGUUAAUUUAAUAAGACGUUAGGCAUGAUUUCCCAGCAACUGUCUUGGCAGUACUGUGAGCUGAUGACUUACUUCUGCCCAUGGAGGGACUCCAUCCUCAGACAAUGGAAGAAUACAUGAACAAGCCCACGUUUUAAGGAUACAGUCUACUUGAAGAUUCUGAGCACUUCACGCUGUGAACCUGCAAACAAGCAACUCCUUGCAUCCACAUGGCCUCUGUUCUGGCACUAAGCUAACAAGGACUUAAAGGGAUUCUGUGUUAGCUAGCAAAACUUAAAGUUGUUAGCUUAAUGUCCUUAUGGCUGCUAUAUAUCUGUAUUAUACUGUGUUUCCGUGCUCACUGUGGCUUUAGGUGUUUCACAUAAUUGCUGCAGAUUGAAUAGUUGCUUGCGGUGUUUUAAGUCCUUGUGGUAUUUUUAAGGUAAUUUCAAAUAUUAGUUGCAAUAUGGUAAUUUUUGUUGCCAUUUGAUCUUCUACCUGUAGAUUGACAACUGCUUUGUGAUAACACACAAUUUUGAAUGUAAAGUAUAUUUUAUAUAAUAAAUACCUUUCCUAAAUGUUUAAAAUUGUACAUAAAUUAAGUUUAUGUUAAUAGCUCAAAUUUCAUACAUGAUGCUUAGAUAUUUUUUUAAUAUGUUCAAUACUACUAUAAUUUCAGGUCAGAUACAAUAUAUAUGACGUUAAUGUCUUGAAUUCAAUUUAUUUUGUUUUUGUUUUUUAGAAUCUUGAUAAAAUUUCAUAAGAGAUUUUGAUGUCUUAGAAGGUGCUAGACCAAAGUUUUUACUUUAUUUUCAAUUGAAUAUAAGGGAUAUUUUAGUAAGGUUGUGGUUUCUACAAACUAUGUAUUUAUUAAGGUUUCUAGAGAUCUGGAGAUGAAAUGUUACAGCAUCUCCUGUUUUUACCAUAAUACUGAGAGGAAGAGCUAUAGCAAUAUUCAUAUAGCAAUAAUUGUGAUCUCUCUUACUAUUUUAUAUCUCAUGUUCCAAUUAUUCCUUGUGAUUUUUUUUAGAUAUUUUAUUUUCAGAUAUCUCAUUCCUUGUGAAACUUUAAAACAUAUUUUAAAUGUAAGGUGAAUGUGUAAGACUUCCUUAUGUCCUGUGUAUUUUCAUUGUACUCUUCAUGGGAGGUAACUCUAUUUCUUUUUUUUUGCCCUUUUCCCCAGAAAAAUAUUUUCUGCUGACCAUAAUUACUAUGACCAUGUCACCUUCAUGCUUCCAAAAUAAAAGUUCUGCAUAGCCAGAUACUGAGUACGCUCAGACACGAAGUAAGAAGUUGUUUGUAGCAUUUGUUUGAGGUGUCUCAGGCUGCAGUUUUAUAUAUGUAUUCUCCGUGUUAGUGUCGAGGUUUGGUGUCCUUUGUAUCUAAGUGCAAGAACUCUCGUGGUUUUCCUAAGACAAUAGGGAGAUCUCAUACAGUGGACCCUUAGAGAAUGUGGUUGUCAUCUUUGGUUCAUCUCAUCAGACAUACUUAAGGGAAGAUGGCAAUAGCAGAGUAGAAAAACAGACCUACAAAUAGACCCAUUCCUUAGUAUAACCAUUUAUUUAACAAUAAUUCAGAGUGCAUAUGAGCUAAUAACUGGGCUUUUAAUAACUGGUUUAUCUUCAAAUUAAUAUAAUUUUGGUGGUUUAGUCUUUCUGAACAUCUUUGUCUGAGCAGUCUUCAGUUUUGUGCAUUAAGUUUUUUAAAAAGUUCAAUAAAGAUGUCUGUUUUUCAAACAUUUUUGUAAACCUGAACUUUCUGUGACUUCAGAGGUUUUCUAGUUCCUUCCCAUUGUUUUUGGAGGAAAGUAUCUUUUGAGCUUCAUUAAAUGUCCUGCUUAUAUUCUGGACAUUUCCAUACUUGAUCUUGUCUAGGUUGCACAAGGAUUCUUCCUGUCAAUGUACUCAUAUUUAGGUGAGUAAAUUCAGGGGAUUUGGGGAACAGCUCCCAGGAGCUUUAGUGAAAAAUCAUUAUGUAUGCUUUCUUGAUUAUUAUAAGACUCUAAGAAAAAUUACCAAGUGAAAGGAAAAAAAAGUACUGAAUUUGUAUAAAACAUCCAAAUAAAAGGUUAAAAACAUGCUAAUGAUGAA